rnacentral:rRNA from 1 species
GUAUGAAGUCGGAAUUGCUAGUAAUACGCGGAUCAGCAUGCCGCGGUGAAUACGUUCCCGGGCCCUUGUACACACCGCCCGUCACACCAUGGGAGCCGGUAAUACCCGAAGUCAGUAGCCUAACCGCAAGGAGGGCGCUGCCGAAGGUAGGAUUGGCGACUGGGGUGAAGUCGUAACAAGGUAUC